rnacentral:rRNA from 1 species
AUGUAUGCUUUCCGGGGACUUGCGAAUGCACAAUUAUGUUGUUGUGAUGUGACUGCACAAUCAUGUGAUGAUAUAUUGAUUCCAAGUCAAGGAAAUUAUGUUGUUGAUGUGAAGAAUUGUCGGAAGAUUCGAUUUUUAACUGUUAUAUAUACCAUUUUAAUGCAAUAUGACAAUCCCUCCUUAUCAAACAAUGCUCUGCAUGGAGGGGAUGUGUGGCUAGAGGGGGAUUUGAGAUUUCAAAGGGAUUGGGUGGAAGAGGGGGAUUCACCAAAUCCCCUGAAAUCCCCUCCUUCCAAAACCUCCACAAUCCCUUCCUAUCAAAUGAGGCCUUAG